rnacentral:rRNA from 1 species
CGCCUCUUGAAUUAAUAUAAGAGGUCCAGCCUGCCCAGUGACCCUGUUCACGGCCGCGGUAUCCUAACCGUGCGAAGGUAGCGUAAUCACUUGUUCUUUAAAUGAGGACUAGUAUGAACGGCAUCACGAAGGUUAUACUGUCUCCUUUUUCCAAUCAGUGAACCUAAUCUCCCCGUGAAGAAGCGGGGAUGUAAUUAUAAGACGAGAAGACCCUAUGGAGCUUAAAACAACACAGCACUUGCUAAAAAAUUAAACAAUUUCAGAAUUUUCCUUUUCUAAGCAACAUGACUGUAAGUUUUUGGUUGGGGUGACCACGGAGUAUAAUAUAACCUCCAUGUUGGAAGAAUUUUAUUCUAAGCCAAAAAUUACAUUUUUAAGCAUCAAUAAAUUGACAUCUAUUGACCCAAUAUAUUUGAACAACGAACCAAGUUACCCUAGGGAUAACAGCGCAAUCCACUUCAAGAGCUCCUAUCGACAAGUGGGUUUACGACCUCGAUGUUGGAUCAGGGUAUCCCAGUGGUGCAGCCGCUACUAAAGGUUCGUUUGUUCAACGAUUAAAACCCU